rnacentral:rRNA from 1 species
AAAAACAUGGCGUUUUGAUUAUAAUUUAAGGUCUGGCCUGCCCAAUGAGGAGUUUAAUGGCCGCGGUAUAUUGACCGUGCAAAGGUAGCAUAAUCAUUAGUUUUUUAAUUGAAAGCUGGUAUGAAUGGUUGGACGAGAAAAAAGCUGUCUCAAUUUAAUUUUGUUAGAAUUUUAUUUUUAAGUAAAAAAGCUUAGAUUUUUUUAAAAGACGAGAAGACCCUAUAGAGUUUUAUAUAUUUAAGUUGUAGUUUUUUUAGAAAUUAAAUAUUUGCAGUGGUUGGUGUAUUUUGUUGGGGUGACAAGAAAAUUAAAAGAACUUUUCUUUAUUUUUUACAUUAAUGUAUGGUUUUAUGAUCCAAUAUGGUUGAUUAUAAGAUUAAAUUACCUUAGGGAUAACAGCGUAAUUUUUUUUGAGAGUUCUUAUCGAAAAAAAGGUUUGCGACCUCGAU